UUCGGGCCUUGCGCUACCGGAUAUGCCCAGGUGGGAUUAGCUAGUUGGUGAGGUAAGGGCUCACCAAGGCGACGAUCCCUAGCUGGUCUGAGAGGAUGAUCAGCCACACUGGAACUGAGACACGGUCCAGACUCCUACGGGAGGCAGCAGUGGGGAAUAUUGCACAAUGGGCGCAAGCCUGAUGCAGCCAUGCCGCGUGUAUG
rnacentral:rRNA from 1 species